rnacentral:lncRNA from 1 species
GUUAUUCACUGGCUCUGUGACCUUGAGCAAGUCAGGUAACCUCUCUGGGUUUGUUUGCUUAUCUCUAAAAUGGGGCUACUAAUACAUACCUCUAGGGCUGUUGUAAUGAUGAAAUGAGAUGAUUCUUUCAUUUCACAAAGAUUUAUGGAGUGCCAGCUGUGUGCAGAGCACUGAGUUGGAUGCUGGAGAUCCAGUGGGACCAAAAGGACCACAGCUCUGCCCUCCUGGAGCACGUGGAGCCCCUGGCACAGGGCCUGGUGCACAGUGAGAUUCAAUAAGCAGUAGCUAUUUGUGGUGACCAUCUUGGCAUUCUGCCAUUAUCUUAAUUACGGGGCACAGGGAGACCCCUCCACCUUCUCCCUAAAGAAAGAGGAUCUCAGCUUCCUCGACUGAAAAAUGACAGAAUUGGACUGGAUCAGGGCUUCCCAACAGUGUCACCUUGAAAGCCUCUUUUAGUAUUUUCCAUCCACAUGAGCCUCGUAUCUGGUAAGAUUUUGUACAACCUGCCAUCAAGUCAUUUCUUCCUUUUUAUUCAUUACAGCUUCAUAUUACAGCUAUGAGAGCUUGUGAUCAGGAAGAGGAAGCCAGUGGCCCAUCACGCUGUUGGUAGAAUUCCAGCCUGAAGCAGAGAUCAAGUCAGCUUGGUUAACGUUCAUAGACUAUGUGCUGUUCCUCUGGUCCUUCUAGAACACUGAUAAGAGCUCAAGGGACUCCUGCUGCCCUCAGGGACCCUUCAGCUAGGCAUUCCAGACUGGAACUCACUGAACUGGAUGUUCUUCUGUGGGUACCAUCCAGCUGAGAGCUGGAGAGGCCGCACCACCCUAGGGAACUGAAUGUCAAGCCACAGCCCACCCAGUUCUCCUCAGAUCCCUGGUAGUCCCCUUCCCCAGGCUGAACUCCCAGCCCGGGCCCUCUUUCAGUGUGGCAGCAUCUGCAGACACGUGGGGAAUGUCUGUGACAGCGGCAGUGUGGGGAGACUCCCCACCAGCUCAUCACACCGGAGGAGGCGGUCUCCCCGCGGCUGUGAGAACACAGACAUUUCCACAGUGACGACUCCCUUCUGCACCUGCCCUCUGGCUUCUCUUACCCGCAG